ACCUUCUAUGGUGUAAUGAUUAACACCUUGGCUCAGUAAUUAAGUGUCCUAGGUUCAAGUCCUGGUUGGGGUA